rnacentral:rRNA from 1 species
AGUGAACGCUGGCGGCAGGCCUAACACAUGCAAGUCGAACGGCAGCACGGCAGUAGCAAUACUGUGGGUGGCGAGUGGCGGACGGGUGAGGAAUACAUCGGGAUCUACCCUGUUGUGGGGGAUAACGUAGGGAAACUUACGCUAAUACCGCAUAAGAACUGAGGUUGAAAGCGGCGGACCGCAAGGCGUCGCGCGAUUGGAUGAACCGAUGUCCGAUUAGCUAGUUGGCGGGGUAAAGGCCCACCAAGGCGACGAUCGGUAGCUGGUCUGAGAGGACGACCAGCCACACUGGAACUGAGACACGGUCCAGACUCCUACGGGAGGCAGCAGUGGGGAAUAUUGGACAAUGGGCGCAAGCCUGAUCCAGCCAUGCCGCGUGGGUGAAGAAGGCCUCGGUUGUAAGACCUUUGUCCGUAA